GACGGUGUUGAUGGCGGUGAGGAUCCACCUGUACCCAUACCGAACACAGAAGUUAAGCUCACUUGCGUCGAAAAUACUUGGCUGGCGACGGCCUGGGAAAAUAGAUAGACGCCGUCA
rnacentral:rRNA from 1 species